UACGGAGGGUGCAAACGUUAUCCGGAAUCACUGGGCGUAAAGCGCAUGUAGGUGGUUGAGUAAGUGGAUGAUUAAAGACCGAUGCUUAACAUCGGGAAUGUUGUCUAUACUGCUCGACUUGAGGGAGACAGGGGUAAGCGGAACUUUAGGUGUAGGAGUGAAAUCCGUAGAUAUCUAAAGGAACACCAAUGGCGAAGGCAGCUUACUGGGUCUUUUCUGACACUGAGAUGCGAAAGUGUGGGGAGCAAACGGG
rnacentral:rRNA from 1 species